rnacentral:lncRNA from 1 species
CGCGUCUCACGCGUGUGCGCGUCGCGCGGACGCAGCAGCCCAUCAGCAGCUCCAAGUUCUCCUCUUCUCCAAAACUGCUUCUCUUGCGCAGCAGAGCAACCGCGCCAGGCUUCUUCUCCAGGUCCGUGCGUGAGAAUCGCAGCCUCUGUUCAUCUCCCAAAUUUCAAACCAUCUCCUACCCACGUCGCGAGGACCUGGGAUCCAUGGCGCCCUUGCAGCAGACCAGCCAGUCUUGGCACCCCAACCCCUGCGGCUCCCCUGCCAUCCGUCCCCUGCGUUCCAGGGUGGUCGUCCCGCGUCGUUGCCGUCGAGGUGAGCUCCCUCCUCAUCCUUCUCCCUCCCCUCCUCUUCUCCUCGCCCUGUUCUCUUGCAGCCAGCAGCUUGGGCACGGCGGCCAGCGACACGGCCCAGAUAGCCCCCAUACCCCCCUGCGUGCAGCUGGCCGAGCGGCCAUGGGCCCCCACACGUGGCCAAUUCCCCACGCUAGAUGCUAGGCCCCUGCUUGCCCUACAGCCAAAUCAAUUUCCCCAUCCCCUUACUGCUUGUGGAUGCGAGGAGGAUGAAAGAGAAUUGUUCAUUCACACAAAAUCCCUCAAGUCUGAUCUGUUGUGGCUGUAACCCCAUGUGGCCCUCGGUGCGACAACCUCUAGCGAGUAGAAUUGUGCCUCAUCAUAUUAAAUUCGCAAUUUAUUAAAUAUGUGUUAACCUUUGUAUUAAACGUCCGAUUUAUUUCGUUCCAGUUGCGUUAACUUCGUAACAACAUCAAUUUCGUAUUAGUAACGUUAUUUUUUGUACGACACAGGUCUUAAGUAAUUAAUUAUUUGUUCAUUCUUAGUGGUUAAAGAACGACUUUCAAAUUAAAACUAUUUUACAGUUCUAACUUGCGCUUUAUAAAUACACAUUAAUUUGCUUAAUGCCAACUCAGAUAUUUUAAAUUAAUACUCGCUUAGUGUAUGUGUGACAACUAUUUAAGUAUUUCUCGUAUGUAGCGCAUACUGUUCCGUGCGUGAUGGCGUGCUAGAUCGCGUGUCGUUCGCGUGCUGUUUUGUGCUCAUCACCACACGUCGUCUUCGCAUGUCGCGUGUGCAGAUCGUGUGCAUCGCCGCACGUUGUCCGCGCGUCGUCGGGCAUUGUUCACGAGUUGUUGUGCUGUUUGCGUGGUGCCGCGCACGAUGUUUCGCGUUUCAUUCACGCGCUGUUUCUGCGUCGUCGUCGUUCGUUUGCGCGUUCGCGCCACGCGUUUGGUUCGCGUGUUGUCACAUGUUGUUCGUGCGUCGUUUGUGCGUCGUCCGUGCGCUAAGUCGAGAGUGUCCGCGCGUCGUUCGGACGUGCUCUUCGCGCAUUGUCACGUGUCGCGCGUUGUCCGCGCGCGAUAUUAAAUCAUUCACUUAUAAUCACUCAGGUCAGUUAAUUAAUUAUUGGUUUAAUCUUUUUUAUUAAAAUAGUAAUUUAGUCCACAAGUUAAGCUGGCAGAGUUAAAGUUGAGUUAAAAAAAGCUAGGAAAAACCAAUGAACCAAUCUCAUUUUCUUGCUAGCCUCUUCUUGAAUAUCGAGGGCGAGAUUCUGUUAAGGGGUUAGAUUUGUAACACCCUGAAUUUAGGGUAUAAAAUUUCUUUUCUGAUAUCCAUCAAAUUCAGGUGUUACCCUCUCCUUUACUUGAUUUUUUUCUUUUUCCUGAAUAAUGGAGAGGUAUUUUGUUAUAUAUAAGCGUAAGCCUAAUAAAGUGAAACUCUAGAGAAACUUUGAAUAUUGCAUUCAUGACGUUGUAUAGUGUUUCUAAGUUCAAAACGUGUUGGAGCAUGUUAAUAUACCUCGUAGAAGUUUUGGUAAUUUUUUUCAUAUUUUCUUUCCGAGUAUAAUUCUCUCCUUUUUUUAAAAAAAAUCAAAUUGUAUAUAUUAGAGGCGCUUAACAAUCUUUUUAUAGGUUUCAAAAAUUUUAUUUUAUUUUAUUUCUUUGGUGUCAAAUCAUGUCUAGGACCAUUGCUAGAAAUUUUGUUUUCCGGGUAUUAAAUAAGAAUUUGAGUCUUUUCUAUAAUUGUUCUAAAAUUCUAAAAUUCAAGAUUUAGACAUAUCUAAUCCCAAUUUAGCUCCACCGAAACCCUUUAUAAAUAACACAUCCAUCUGCCUUUUUCUAUCUAGUAGCCAAACACGAAUUCCAACCUCCAAACUACUCCCGUGAGAACAGGACCUCCAUGAUCGCUACUGCCAGAACUCGUUUCGACAUCUCCUUCAUCCUCGUCGCUGCCGCUCGCCUGCACAGCAGGCCCAGGCGCCAGGCCACACCACGUCUCACGCGCGUGCGCGUCGCGCGGACGCAGCAGCCCAUCAGCCGCUCCAAGUUCUCCUCUUCUCCAAAACUGCUUCUCUCGCGCAGCAGAGCAACCGCGCCAGGCUUCUUCUCCAGGUCCGUGCGUGAGAAUCGCAGCCUCUGUUCAUCUCCAAAUUUCAAACCAUCUCCUACCCACGUCGCGAGGACCUGGGAUCCAUGGCGCCCUUGCAGCAGGAGACCAGCCGGUCUUGGCACCCCAACCCCUGCGGCUCCCCUGCCAUUCGUCCCCUGCGUUCCAGGUGAGCUCCCUCCUCAUCCUUCUCCCUCCCCUCUUCUCCU